CAAGGAGCUUUGGAUGUCAUAGGAAACAUCGUUGAGUGUGCCCUCGAUGGCAUCAGGGACCUGAAUUUGGGAUCCCAGCUCUAUCUCAUCAUCCAGUUGCUGGUGCUUGCUGUGGACCGGAACGGCUUGGGCAUAGCGGUGGAACUGCUCGAUGGACUCUGCGAUCUGCUGGCAACCCUGGUGGGGACGACUUGCACUCUGUUCGCCUUGAAUGAGACAGCACUGUGCCAAGAUCCUAUUGACCUCAACCUCCCAAGCGUCAUUGGCGUCGGAGAGGUUAAACACGGAUCCCGAUGACUGCCCACCAACACAAUGGAGAAUUAACAA